rnacentral:lncRNA from 1 species
CAAAUACAAGAGAAAAGGAAACUAUCAUCCUAAGGAUCCCUAGCAACUGCAUCAGAUGAUCUGGCUAUGGGUGCAUACUUCCUUUAGAUGCGUCAAAUCUCAAACUCAAAAGAUGUCUUCAUCUGAGCCUUCUCGAGGACUAACUAAUCAACAAUCUUCUUUAAAGCACCAGAAGGUUAAGGCAUGCUAGAGGAAGAUAAAC